GACGAACGCUGGCGGCGUGCUUAACACAUGCAAGUCGAACGGAAAGGCCCUGCUUUUGUGGGGUUCUCUAGUUUCUAACUUUUGAGUAACACGUGAGUAACCUGCCCUUGACUUUGGGAUAACUUCAGGAAACUGGGGCUAAUACCGGAUAGGAGCUCCUGCUGCAUGGUGGGGGUUGGAAAGUUUCGGCGGUUGGGGAUGGACUCGCGGCUUAUCAGCUUGUUGGUGGGGUAGUGGCUUACCAAGGCUUUGACGGGUAGCCGGCCUGAGAGGGUGACCGGCCACAUUGGGACUGAGAUACGGCCCAGACUCCUACGGGAGGCAGCAGUGGGGAAUAUUGCACAAUGGGCGGAAGCCUGAUGCAGCAACGCCGCGUGCGGGAUGACGGCCUUCGGGUUGUAAACCGCUUUCGCCUGUGACGAAGCGUGAGUGACGGUAAUGGGUAAAGAAGCACCGGCUAACUACGUG
rnacentral:rRNA from 1 species